AGUCUCCUUUCUUAAGGGACCCAGACUAUCAGAUCAGAGGUACAUACAUACAUGCACACAAACACACACAGACCACCAGCACAGCAUAACACAAACAUAAAUUCUCUCUCUCUUGCUCGCUCGCUCGCUCGCUCGCUCCGCUCGCUCGCUCUGUCACACAUACACACACACAGAAAAUGCCUUACAGGCUUGCCUUCAGUUGGAUCUUAUCAAAGUGUUUUCUCAAUUGACGUUCCCUCCUUUCAGAUGACUGUGUCAAGCUGACAUAAAACUAGCCAGCACACCUGACUGUAUGCAUGAGCACUGUAUAUGUGCCGGUAUCCCUGUAGGUCAGAAGAGCUACCCUGGAACUAGAAUUACAUAUGGCUGUGUGCUACCACAUGGGUGCUGAGAACUGAUUGUGGGUCCUCUGCAAGAGCAACAUGUGUCCUUAACCACUGAGCCAUCUCUCCAGCCCCUCCAGGUCAGUUUUGAGAGAAACUAAAAUUAAGGACUUUUUAGCAAAAGAUGUACCUAGUCUCGUGUGUGUGUGUGUGUGUGUGUGUGUGUGUGUGUGUGUGUUUCUUGUUUGGGGUUUUGUUUGCUUGGCUUUUGAGAUGGGGGUCACUAUGUAACCUGGCCUGGAACUCACUAAAUAGACCAGGCUGGCCUCAGACUCAAAGAUCUGCUUGUUGGGUGCUAGGAUUAAAGGUCUGCUCCAUCACACCCUGGCUUUUAUGUGUAUUUUUUUUUCCGAGACAGAUUUUCUCUGUGUAGCCCUGGCUGUCCUGGAACUCACUUUGUAGACCAGGCUGGCCUUGAACUCAGAAAUCUGCCUGCCUCUGCCUCCCGAGUGCUGGGAUUAAAGGCGUGCGCCACACCCAGCUCUAUGUGUGUGUUUUGAGGGUCUCCCUUUAUUGAGCCCAAGCUAAUUGCAGUUAUGAAUGUCAGUAAUUUGUUAUUUCCCAGUUAGCUGAUGCCUACUAAGCUUUGAGGCUUUCCUGGUCACUCUUUCUUAUGUCGCGUUAUUAUUUUUCCAUUCCAUAUGUAUAUGUUAAGUGAUUCCCUUUUCAGACUUAUGAGGGAGCAAUUUUAUUGUGUCCUUACACAUCCAAAAUGCCCUUUUUCAUACAUGAAAAAGAGAUUAAGUGUAGAAUUCUAGGUUUAAAGGUUGAACGUGGUGGGGCAUGCCUACCUAUAACCCCAGCCCUCAGGAGGCAGAAAAGGAGACUCAUAGCCAACUUAAACCUGGCCACAGAGUGAAAAUCCCAUCUCAAAACACAGAACAACAAUCUCCACCUGUCCCUUCCCCCCAAAAAAUGCUAGGUUAAAAUGUAUGUAGUUGUAGAGUGAGUUGGAAAGAUGAUUCUUGCUACCUGUAGGAUUUGCUUGUCACUUCUCCAAAAUUAAUGGAUAAUAGAUGUUUGUGUUUAACUGAAUUCUCACAUUUAUUUACUUAUUUAUUUAUUUAUGGUUUGUCUGACUAUGUAGUCUUGGCUGCCCUGGAAGUUUGUAUCUAGACCAGGCUGGCCUUAAACUCCUGGUGGUGGUCCUUCCAGCUUUGGCCUCCAUGUGAGUGCUGGAAUUACAGGCACAUGCCGCCACAGUACUGAGUUCUCACUGGAAAUCAUUUGUUUAUGUAUGUUCUUAUGUCAGUCCCUCUGCUUUAAAUACUGUACCAUUGUAAGUUUGGGAGUGACGUGUCAUGUUAGUCUUCCAAUCUUUUUCAGAUUGUUGUGGUGUUCUGGGCUCCUUCCAUUUCCAUAUGAAGCUUAAGAUUCAUUUGCUCAUUUCUGUAAUGAAAAAAAACCAGUACUUGACAUUUUGAUAGAGAUCACUUCUCUUUGUUAUCUUCACGUUUUACUUCUGACUUGUACCAUGUUUGAGUCUUGAUUUUAUGCUGGUUCAUGCUACUUUGAGAAUCUUUGCUAGCCUUGCUGUGACUUUCCCUCGGUGUUUUGCACAGAUCCCACUAAUUGUGGUAGGGAGGAGAGUGGACACUGGAUGAGUCAUGGUGAGGGAGUGUACCUGAUAUUGACCAUUCUCUAGUGUAACUGCCCUUCAUCUGUCAGAAUGCUGAUACCCACAGAGGGCUCUUCUUAGAGCCAACGGCUCAUCUUAGUCCUACCUGGGGAGCAUCCUCUUGGUCAUUGCCACCAGUCUCAUCUGGGAGCAAAUACCUCUUCUUCUUAAACACUUGGCUCCAGGGGACAAAUAGGUGGGAGGGGUUGAUCUGUAAUAUAACUUCUGUGUAUCACCAACCACCAAUGUGGUGAUCUUUACAGUCUGUUUCAGCUCGUUCUGCUGCCUGCCUCUGUAGUUAACUUAGUUCAGCUGUUUAAACCAGUGAAGCUACCGCUCACCCGCUCCUGGUUGUUAGACUGACUUCUGAGUCUGUUCUCUCAGCUUUCCCUUUCAUCUCUUUAUCUUUCCUCUCUUUAAAACUGACUCCUCUUAGUUUUAGUCUAUUAGAGUAUUUGUUGUUGUUUUGUUCUUUCUUGUGUAGGCCUUCCACCCCCGAAAGGAUUUCACUCUGUAGCCUUGGCUGUGCUGUAGCACACUCUAUAGACCACACUGUCCUUGGACUCAGAUCCACUUGCCUCUGCCUCCCAAGGGAUUGAAAGCAUGUGCUUUCUCUGUAGAUUUAUAAAAAGAUGACAUUAUUUAUGAAAUUGGGGAAAAGCUGAGUUAGUGUGUGUCUUGGUAAAGUUUUAAUUUUAGUGAUUAUGGUGAAGCAAAUUUUGU
rnacentral:lncRNA from 1 species